rnacentral:rRNA from 1 species
CGAUGAACCACUUCGGUGGGGAUUAGUGGCGAACGGGUGAGUAACACGUGGGCAAUCUGCCCUGCACUCUGGGACAAGCCCUGGAAACGGGGUCUAAUACCGGAUACGAGCUCCCAUCGCAUGGUGGGGGUUGGAAAGCUCCGGCGGUGCAGGAUGAGCCCGCGGCCUAUCAGCUUGUUGGUGAGGUAACGGCUCACCAAGGCGACGACGGGUAGCCGGCCUGAGAGGGCGACCGGCCACACUGGGACUGAGACACGGCCCAGACUCCUACGGGAGGCAGCAGUGGGGAAUAUUGCACAAUGGGCGAAAGCCUGAUGCAGCGACGCCGCGUGAGGGAUGACGGCCUUCGGGUUGUAAACCUCUUUCAGCAGGGAAGAAGCGAAAGUGACGGUACCUGCAGAAGAAGCGCCGGCUAACUACGUGCCAGCAGCCGCGGUAAUACGUAGGGCGCAAGCGUUGUCCGGAAUUAUUGGGCGUAAAGAGCUCGUAGGCGGCUUGUCGCGUCGGAUGUGAAAGCCCGGGGCUUAACCCCGGGUCUGCAUUCGAUACGGGCAGGCUAGAGUUCGGUAGGGGAGAUCGGAAUUCCUGGUGUAGCGGUGAAAUGCGCAGAUAUCAGGAGGAACACCGGUGGCGAAGGCGGAUCUCUGGGCCGAUACUGACGCUGAGGAGCGAAAGCGUGGGGAGCGAACAGGAUUAGAUACCCUGGUAGUCCACGCCGUAAACGGUGGGCACUAGGUGUGGGCAACAUUCCACGUUGUCCGUGCCGCAGCUAACGCAUUAAGUGCCCCGCCUGGGGAGUAC